rnacentral:rRNA from 1 species
CACUCCUGCGGGAGGCAGCAGUGGGGAAUAUUGCACAAUGGGCGCAAGCCUGAUGCAGCCAUGCCGCGUGUAUGAAGAAGGCCUUCGGGUUGUAAAGUACUUUCAGCGGGGAGGAAGGUGUUGAGGUUAAUAACCUCAGCAAUUGACGUUACCCGCAGAAGAAGCACCGGCUAACUCCGUGCCAGCAGCCGCGGUAAUACGGAGGGUGCAAGCGUUAAUCGGAAUUACUGGGCGUAAAGCGCACGCAGGCGGUCUGUCAAGUCGGAUGUGAAAUCCCCGGGCUCAACCUGGGAACUGCAUUCGAAACUGGCAGGCUAGAGUCUUGUAGAGGGGGGUAGAAUUCCAGGUGUAGCGGUGAAAUGCGUAGAGAUCUGGAGGAAUACCGGUGGCGAAGGCGGCCCCCUGGACAAAGACUGACGCUCAGGUGCGAAAGCGUGGGGAGCAAACAGGAUUAGAAACCCCAGUAGUCCCAU